rnacentral:rRNA from 1 species
GACGAACGCUGGCGGCGUGCUUAACACAUGCAAGUCGAACGAAGUGGCGAACGGGUGAGUAACGUGUAAUCAACCUGCCCUUCAAGGGGGGACAACAGUUGGAAACGACUGCUAAUACCGCAUACUGAAGGAGGGGAUUGCGUCUGAUUAGCUAGUUGGUGGGGUAACGGCCCACCAAGGCGAUGAUCAGUAGCCGGUUUGAGAGGGUGAACGGCCCCAUUGGGACUGAGACACGGCCCAGACUCCUACGGGAGGCAGCAGUGGGGAAUCUUCCGCAAUGGACGGAAUGCUGACGGAGCAACGCCGCGUGAGUGAUGACGGCCUUCGGGUUGUAAAGCUCUGUUAAUCGGGACGCGGUACCGGAAUAGAAAGCCACGGCUAACUACGUGCCAGCAGCCGCGGUAAUUC